rnacentral:misc_RNA from 1 species
AAGUCGUAACAAGGUUUCCGUAGGUGAACCUGCGGAAGGAUCAUUAACACGUAUCCAAACGUUAAAACAACCCUGUGAAUAUUAACGCGUGUUCUUGCUUGACACCAAAACAGCAAUCUCUCGUAAAACAGGCGCUAAAGAAUUACAGAUAUUGAUUUGAGAGAAUUCUGUCAGUCGGUGGACGUUGCAAUUGAGCACUAGAUAAAGCACCCUGGUACCUUCUGAUCUAUCACCAAUGUCUGAAAGUGUCAAGUGAUGGUCAGGGUAACGCAGUCAACGAUCGCUGUAGGUCCUCACGACCGGCGACCGGGGUGGAGGCUAAGCUGACUCCGUCAUAAAUCGAACAACUGUUAACAAUGGAUAUCUUGGUUCUC